CAUAAAAUGUAUUUUUCUUUCUAGUAAAUGAAUUCCAGAAGUUGCUGGUACAGGAUUAGUGUGAUCAAUGCACAUUCAUCAGAACCAUAGCCUCCUGGCCCCAGAAUAUUCUCCUGCAUAUCCAGCUGUCAAAUCUUCACUCCUGGCAACAGGAUGGAAGCACCAGAAGAAAGAACAAUUUGCUGGUUCUUAAGCUGUGAGAGGACAAAAGGGCAAGAAAUUUGGAAGAGAACCAGGAGCCUAUUCAUGCUGUAAAACAUGAGGAAGUUUACUUCAAAGAAAG
rnacentral:lncRNA from 1 species